CAAACGUUGCUCGGAAUCAUUGGGCGUAAAGCGCACGUAGGCGGUUCGUUAUGUCGGAUGUGAAAGCCCUUGGCUUAACCGAGGAAGUGCAUCCGAAACUGGCGAGCUAGAGUACUAAAGAGGAUCGCGGAAUUCCCGGUGUAGAGGUGAAAUUCGUAGAUAUCGGGAGGAACACCGGUGGCGAAGGCGGCGAUCUGGGUAGAUACUGACGCUGAGGUGCGAAAGCGUGGGGAGCAAACAGG
rnacentral:rRNA from 1 species